GAAGACCCUCACCCAAACACAGAAGAAAGGGGGAAGCAAAAAGAAAAGCGAUGAAUUACACCAGCGAUAAAUGAAAAACAAGCUAUAGGGAACCUCAUCUCAAUGAGGUUGGAGAUUCCUACCAAAAACCCCCAGUCUCUAAGAGAGAAAUCAACACAAGUCAAAGAUAAACCGACCUCCUCGAGAUAUCAGAAAGUUCAGACUCCUGAGCUCGAACCUAAGGCGACAAACAAAAAGGGCAAAUCGACACUGCGACA
rnacentral:lncRNA from 1 species